ACACGGUUCUCGUACGGUCACCAUAGUUAAGCAAAUUAGAGCUUGAGCAAUACCUAGAUGGGUGACCGUUUGGGAAUACCAGGUGCUGUAA